UCAUGCCCACCCUCCACUUGUCCACGUAUGCAAGUGUUUCCAAUGAUGCUAUUCUUUAUUCAUAGAGGUAGUUAGAUGCUUCAUAAAACGGUCAUAUCUGCAAAAAAGGCGGGAGAGGAGGGGCAGGAGGUGGGGAGGGGGGCGAAGGGCGCAACCGCUCCAACCCGGAGCCUCCCAGCCUACAUGGCCAUUUCUGCAAACGGCUCUCCGAGCCAGCAACCGACGCUCGCCCCUGAAGCAACGGCAGCGGGCGAACCCCCCCCCCCACUCCCGGUGCUCUCAUUGACCUCCACCGGCAGCCACCCAGCAGAAUAAGCCCCGCCCUUACCUGUGCCAGCAACGCGAAGAAAGCGGUUUCGGCGUCGGCGUGGAAGGAAGGAAGGAAGGAGCGAGCGUGCCUUCCUCUGCCCUCCUUCCCUCCUUCUCCACGGCGGCGGCGGCGCUCCGUUGCCAGGGCGGCGAGCGAAAAACCCUGGCCUGCGAUUGGCCGCUUCGUGAGGCUCGGGAGCGCCCAGGUGAGCGUCGGGCUGAGGAGGGCGUUCACCUGAGUGGCUCACCUGGGCAGCUCAGGUAUCCAAAAUUUGCAGAACACAUCCAAAGGAUAUGUACCAGUUUUACAUAUGAAACAGAAUCUCGUCAUACCUGUUCGCCAUUCAACC